rnacentral:rRNA from 1 species
UACGGAGGGUGCAAGCGUUAUCCGGAUUUACUGGGUUUAAAGGGUGUGUAGGCGGGUCUAUAAGUCAGUGGUGAAAUCUCCGGGCUCAACCCGGAAACUGCCAUUGAUACUAUAGGUCUUGAAUAUUGUGGAGGUGGGCGGAAUGUGUCAUGUAGCGGUGAAAUGCUUAGAGAUGACACAGAACACCGAUUGCGAAGGCAGCCCACUACGCAACUAUUGACGCUGAGGCACGAAAGCGUGGGGGAUCAAAACAGG